GACGAACGCUGGCGGCGUGCUUAACACAUGCAAGUCGAACGGAAAGGCCCAGCUGUCGUGGGGGGCUCGAGAGGCGAUGGGGUGAGUAACAAGUGAGUAACCUGCCGUGGACUAUGGGAUAAAUUCAGGAAACUGGGGCUAAUACCGGAUAGGAGCUCCUGCUGAAUGGUGGGGGUGGGAAAGUUUCGGCGGUUGGGGAGGGACUCGCGGCUUAUCAGCUUGUUGUUGGGGUAGUGGCUUACCAAGGCUUUGACGGGUAGCCGGCCUGAGAGGGUGACCGGCCACAUUGGGACUGGGAUACGGCCCAGACUCCUACGGGAGGCAGCAGUGGGGAAUAUUGCACAAUGGGCGGAAGCCUGAUGCAGCAACGCCGCGUGCGGGUUAACGGCCUUCGGUUUGUAAACCGCUUUCGCCUGUGACGAAGCGUGAGUGACGGUAAUGGGUAAAGAAGCACCGGCUAACUACGUG
rnacentral:rRNA from 1 species